AUUGAACGCUGGCGGCAGGCCUAACACAUGCAAGUCGAACGAGUGGCGGACGGGUGAGUAAUGUCUGGGAAACUGCCUGAUGGAGGGGGAUAACUACUGGAAACGGUAGCUAAUACCGCAUACCAUCAGAUGUGCCCAGAUGGGAUUAGCUAGUUGGUGGGGUAAAGGCUCACCAAGGCGACGAUCCCUAGCUGGUCUGAGAGGGUGACCAGCCACACUGGGACUGAGACACGGUCCAGACUCCUACGGGAGGCAGCAGUGGGGAAUAUUGGACAAUGGGCGAAAGCCUGAUGCAGCCACGCCGCGUGGAUGAAGAAGGCUUUCGGGUUGUAAAGUACUGUUGUCAGGGAAGCGGUACCUGCAGAAGAAGCACCGGCUAACUACGUGCCAGCAGCCGCGGUAAUUC
rnacentral:rRNA from 1 species